rnacentral:rRNA from 1 species
CUUAUAUCUAUGGCAGGGGGAACGCCAAUCUGAUCGAUGAAGACCUCGUUGGGUGAGGGUACCACACUGCCCGCCACACAUGUUCCGGGCCCUUGCAUAAGUGGCACUGUAAGACUAAGUGCUAAUGAUCGCUAAGGCUGAAGUGCGUCAGCUCAACGUCUGACGCUAGGCCUGAUGCUAGCCAAAAUACCCUAAUCGAGGUGGAGCGCCGAACCGUUGGGAGACAUGGCUGGUAACAUCGUGCACACAUCGGGACCGGCAUUCCCGGUACUACUGAACUGCAGUAGGGGUGGAAGGAGGCCAAACAGUGGCCGUCAGAGGAAUCUCACGGGUGGAAUUGCACGACCAUUGAUUCCUGUUCCCAACGCGAGCAAUGCCCUGGAAUUUGGGUUGGUAGAAGUGCCUGUGUCCCUCGACUGCUUGUCCGGGUACGUUCGUGGACACCAAAGGCUAAGGGCCUUCUCCGUGAGAGGCGGUAGAGAACGUUUCUAAGGCCCUUGUACAGUUCCCGGGUCCAAUUCCAAGAAGCGCCGCAACGGAAGCCUUAAAUUUUGGUGUACGAAGGUGGCGCGAACACGCCCCGGGGGCAGGUUAAGGUUAAACUCAAAAAUUUGGAACGGCCCGGCAAUUGAGGGGUUCCGCCAGCCUGAAUUAGCGCCAAUCGAACGCGGUGAAUUCUAGAGUUUCCUAAGGUUGCCGUAUCAGCUGUAGCAAAAUGCCGCACCCUGAUGGUCCCCAUAGAUUUAGGACAAACGAGGGGGUGCGAAAGCGUGGUAGUCACAGUUCAUAGUCAGGUUCCACCAAGCGGGAAGCGGGUGACCACUAAGGGAAGGAUAUAGUAGGAUGCGUAAAAAGUGGCGAAUGUGUGUCCUUUAAGGUUGGUGGGAGGAUGGCAUUGAGAUCCAGGUCCGUCAAUAUACCCUACGUUAAAGGGGUCCCAACCCUCGGGGCCCUCUUAAAGGUGUAGGGUAGCAAUGGGUUUGGUGGGAUUGCGCGUUACGGAAAUAUGCGGGUUCAUUAUUAGGCUUUAAUUGCCGAGACGGUGGGAAAGCAUAAUAUUGGCGCCCGACGACCGGUGCUUCAAUUCGGGCCACCGAAUAAGACCAACCUUGCAUUGCAGGUUUGUGUCGUUCCCAUAAAUUGUAAAUGACGGGAAGAAGGAAGGGUUGGAAUUUCACCAGAAAUGUUAAGGCUUCUGGAAGAAGUGUGUGCGCCGUACCGACCUAGUCCGAAAGCGGGUAACAGGUUAUAAGGGGUGACGACGGAGGGCAUCCUCAGACCUGGCACAGAGUCAAGGUCACACUGACUAGUAGGAGAGUCUGGUCAAUGCCUAGCAGCGGAACCAUCCGGAAAUGGGGUGGUUGAUCGAUUAGGCUGGAUCCGAGUAGACUAUCGCGUUCCGGGCUUCCAGGGGACGAAAGAGGGCAUCCUGCAUACGCCAUGAAUCGCAAGGAAAGCUUGUGCAACAGGGGGUGAUGGUCCGUCUAAGCUAUCCGUAAUGAGUGGGCAGCGCGGCGACUAGG